UACGUAGGGUCCGAGCGUUGUCCGGAAUUAUUGGGUGUAAAGAGCUCGUAGGCGGUUUGUCGCGUCUGCUGUGAAAUCCCGAGGCUCAACCUCGGGUCUGCAGUGGGUACGGGCAGACUGGAGUGCGGUAGGGGAGAAUGGAAUUCCUGGUGUAGCGGUGGAAUGCGCAGAUAUCAGGAGGAACACCGAUGGCGAAGGCAGUUCUCUGGGCCGUAACUGACGCUGAGGAGCGAAAGCGUGGGGAGCGAACAGG
rnacentral:rRNA from 1 species